CGUGUAGGCGGCUUGACAAGUCAGAUGUGAAAUCCCUGGGCUUAACCCAGGAAGUGCAUUUGAAACUGUCUUGCUUGAGUAAGGGAGAGGAAAGUGGAAUUCCUGGUGUAGAGGUGAAAUUCGUAGAUAUCAGGAGGAACACCGGUGGCGAAGGCGACUUUCUGGCCCUAUACUGACGCUGAGACGCGAAAGCGUGGGUAGCAAACAG
rnacentral:rRNA from 1 species